AUGUCUUUAGAUCCCCAUUUUCUAGUUUCUCUUUUGUGAAGACAUUCAAGGGUCGAUUUUUCUUAACUUGAAGGUAUUUUCUUCCAUUACGCAUCUUUGAUUUGUUGUUUUAUCAGUUUCCAAUAUAAAAAUAAUCAAAUGGAUCAUCGAACGCCCAUAUUGAUUUGGAUCUAAACUGAUCACGAUUUCGGAUCAAAAGUUUUUCCUUCUCACCGUUUGGGUAUUAUUAUCUAAAUAAACUUGUAUAUGAGGUUCUAGUUCUAAACAUAAAUAAUAACGAUGUGUUCUUCUGUUAAUUUCCACUUGUUCUUUCGAUGUAACCCAAUAAAAUAUAAACCUAUGCUAUUGAGAAGAUACAUAUAGUCAA
rnacentral:lncRNA from 1 species